AAAGUUUGAUCUGAUCAAGUAUUGACGCUUCCUUCUACGUGUCCAGUUGACAUUUGGCCUAUGAAAUAUUAUCUCUUCGUGAUCAUAACCCAGAUAAAGACCGCGCGGUUGUUGUCUAAAAAUAGUAUAACGUUCAAAAAGUAACUGAAAAAAAAAAACAUGGUGGUUGAACGAUAAUCAUCAUAAAAGAUUCGUUAUAUCUCUAAUUCGUAUAGUUGGACCGGAAUCUUGAGAACGAUUGUCCAGAUAGUCAAAUUACAGAAGUAACAAAGAUCGCGUGAAGUCGUGCGGCCUCGUUUUUUAUAUCAAUAUCAUUUCAUUCCGGCCGCCGCUCAUACUAGAGUACGCUUCCGCAUGUGCGUAGUCUGGCGGUAAAAACUGUUUCGAUAUCAAUGACGAGCGGCCCGCCUCUCUUCGUUCAAUGUGGAUUCGGAGUUAUUCCGAUGCUUGACCAUUGGCCGAAUCGGCUUCCGGACGGUCCGCGCGCGUUAUACAUUUUUGUCAGUCGAAGUCUUUUGCAUAAAGAGUAACGUGACGUUCCACUACGUACCCCACGCCUUCUCAUUUUUUUUUUUUUUUUUCCCUUCGGAUCUUCCUCUUCUUCGUUGUCGGGACCGCGUCUCAAUCGGGAGUUUGUCUCGAAGAGUGAAACUGUGCGGAACAUUUUGCCGCUUUUCCUUGCGGUGAUCAACUUUCGAAGACAACGUAUUGUGUUUUUAUUUGACCAACGACGAUACAUCUGCGGAAAUGGAGCUGAUAAUUCGCAUCUUGACUUUUUUGGAAUCGGUCAUAUACCACAUUUUACGACCAGUAUUUUGGUGGGUCUAUCGAAAACAACCGCCUAAAAUUGCGCUCAUUAAAAAUCCAAUAUUACAACUGAGCGCGGUCAAAAUCGCUGAAAAAAUUAGACAAAAAGAGCUAUCGAGUGAAACUGUAAUUCUGGCAUACAUAGAACGCAUCAAAGAAGUUAACCCUCUGUUGAACGCGGUUGUCGAGAACCGUUUCGAAGCUGCGAUCCAAGAUGCCAGAGCCUGCGAUAAAAAAUUAGCCACUGGCGAGGUGACCGCAAAAGAACUUGAAAUCGAAAAACCGCUUUUCGGUGUUCCCGUAACGGUCAAAGAAAGCUGCGCGUUGAAAGGUCUCAGUCAUACAGGCUGCACUCUUGCCAGAGCCGGAAUAAAGGCAAAUUACGACAGCUUAUCCGUUCUCUCGUUGAAAACAGCCGGAGCCAUUCCUCUUUGCGUGACAAAUACACCGGAAUUAUGUCUCGGUUUCGAAUCUCAAAAUCCUCUGUUCGGCACCACAAACAAUCCUUACGACAUCAGAAAGACUGCCGGUGGUUCUUCGGGCGGAGAGGGCGCGCUUCUGGGCUCUUCAUCGUCACUUAUCGGCGUCGGUUCAGAUAUCGCUGGAUCUAUCAGACUACCGGCACACCUGAACGGGGUCUUCGGUCACAAACCAACCCCAGGAAUCAUCUCGAUCGAAGGACAUUUACCGUUUUGCGACGGCGUUGAAUUUCAAAAGUACUUGGUAAUCGGCCCAUUGGCGAGAUACGCGGAGGAUUUGGCGUUGGCGGUAAAAGUUAUGGCGAACCGGAACACCGCCGCGUUACGUUUAGACGAACCGGUUGACGUUAAGUCCUUGAAAAUUCGAUACAUGGAAGCAGUGGAAGAAUCUUUCGGUCUCAUAUCGGUCAGCGAAGAUAUCAAACGGGUCAUCAGAGACGGGGCCAGAUACCUCGAAGGCAUAGGGGCUGACGUUGAAAGGGUGAUGAUCCCGGAAUUGACGGAUUCUCUGGAUAUAGGCAUGGCACUUUUCUUCGGUAUGAAGGAAAUGCCCCAGUUACUGCUGGACCCGGAAGAUCCAAAGCACGAGAGUAACCCGAUUUCCGAAUUGGGUAAAUUACUCUUUGGUCUGUCUCGGCACAAUUCGUCAGCGAUACUGUUCAAGUUGUUGAGAGACGUACACGCCUUUAUACCACAGUCAAAACUGCCGAGUUAUCGAGGGAAGGUGCAAAAAUUGGAGCGAAUUUUCACGGAACUACUCGGGACCAACGGAGUCUUCUUAUUUCCAACUUUCGUUCGAUCAGCACCUUUGCACGAUCAAUUAACUCUUCAACUCGCCGGGGCUCUGUACUGCCUCAUUUUCAACGUCCUUGGAUUUCCAGCAACACACGUGCCGAUGGGCUUAGACAGCGAAGGCCUUCCAGUCGGUGUACAGGUGGUCGCAUGUCCGUUCCAGGACAGAUUGUGUUUAGCAGUUGCCAAAGAAUUGGAGAAUGGUUUCGGUGGAUGGGUACCACCGCCGCAAGCAGCGGUUUAGCAUCAUUUAGCGUUAAGUACGACAUUUCUUCUAAUAGUUAAUUGAGAAAGUGUCGCGCGUUUUUAGUGGACUGAAUUUCCAAAUACCAUCGAGCGUAUGGGAGUGGAUCAUGACGCUUCGCGCUCUUCGCUGGAUUCCUAAUGUUACACGCAACGUACGAUAUCAAAAUCUAUCGUCCGAUGUAGAGUAGCCGUACAAAAGAUUGACGUCGGUAUCGAUUUGCAUUCGAAACAUUACCCGACAAUUAUAAAGUACACUACUAAUCGGUCGUACCAUCGAUCAUACACGUAGGUAUGGAUACGAAUGUCGUAAUAGGUAUAGCUAACAUGUAUACCUAUACGUGUACAAGAAGUUUAGGAUUAAAAGUUAUCGUGUGCAUGCAAGUGAAAUGGACUUUCUUACAAUUAGUUUGAAUGAGUGAACGAGAAUAUUGUUGAGCAAAUUGUUGUACGAAAAUUUGAAAAUUAGAAAAAAAAAAAAAAAGAAAUAA
rnacentral:misc_RNA from 1 species